GUUACAGAGUUACCGAGACCUACUUUCAGCAGCUCCAAUGAGCUCCCCUGCGGAGGGCGCUGUAGGAGGCUUCAGGAUCCUCCUCGCUGGAAGCUUCAUCAGAUGCAGGCUCCUUAAACACAAAGCCAAAUCCACAAGUUGGAAAUGUUGUUCUAUUGUUCCAAUAAAUCUUUUUAAGUACUGA